rnacentral:rRNA from 1 species
UACGUAGGGGGCGAGCGUUGUCCGGAUUCAUUGGGCGUAAAGAGCUCGUAGGCGGUUCAGUAAGUCGGGUGUGAAAUCUCCGUGCUCAACACGGAGCGGCCACCUGAUACUGCUGUGACUCGAGUCCGGUAGGGGAGUGUGGAAUUCCCGGUGUAGCGGUGAAAUGCGCAGAUAUCGGGAGGAACACCUGUGGCGAAAGCGGCUCACUGGACCAUAACUGACGCUGAUGCACGAAAGCUAGGGGAGCAAACAGG